rnacentral:rRNA from 1 species
GACGAACGCUGGCGGCGUGCUUAACACAUGCAAGUCGAACGGAAAGGCCCUGCUUUUGUGGGGUGCUCGAGUGGCGAACGGGUGAGUAACACGUGAGUAACCUGCCCUUGACUUUGGGAUAACUUCAGGAAACUGGGGCUAAUACCGGAUAGGAGCUCCUGCUGCAUGGUGGGGGUUGGAAAGUUUCGGCGGUUGGGGAUGGACUCGCGGCUUAUCAGCUUGUUGGUGGGGUAGUGGUUUACCAAGGCUUUGACGGGUAGCCGGCCUGAGAGGGUGACCGGCCACAUGGGGACUGAGAUACGGCCCAGACUCCUACGGGGGGCAGCAGUGGGGAAUAUUGCACAAUGGGCGGAAGCGUGAUGCAGCAACGCCGCGUGCGGGAUGACGGCCUUCGGGUUGUAAACCGCUUUCGCCUGUGACGAAGCGUGAGUGACGGUAAUGGGUAAAGAAGCACCGGCUAACUACGUG